CAGAAUUCCCUCUGUCAAGCGAACAUGGAGGAGGGACUUUGCAGGAAAAGAGGGGAGCAGGUGCAACAGGAAGAAACAGAAGGAAGGGCUCAGCUCCAAGUCAUGUGCUGAGGACUAAACGUUGUGAGAAAGACAAUGAACAGGUACGGUGAACAGACUGGAACAAAGGAAGAGUUAAAGAUUCCAGAGAGCAGUACCAGGAGGCAUCCCCACCAGCCAAUGCCAGUCACCUGGGGACCACGAGAGGAGGAACUGGCCAAUGAUGGGGCCAAUGUCAGCAGCUGGAGCCGAGAAAUGGAGAGAAAACAAUUCUUGGUUUUAUUUUGAGUCACCACAUAAAGCUUCUCC